CAAAACUAGUGUUUCUAUCGGUCUCUUCCCUCUAGCCUUCUAAAGAGAGAGAUCUCUCUCAUUUCAAUUUAAUUUUUCUUUGGUCAAAUCCUCUUUUGUGCAGAAUUAUUGCGGCUUUCCUCCUUUCCAGGCAAGGAAAGCUUUUCUUGACUGGAGCAAGAGUUCUUUCCUCCCAAUCUUCUGGUGGAUUAUUGCCGCUUUCCUCCUCUCCAGGCAAGGAAAGCUUUUCUUGACUGGAGCGAGAGUUCUUUCCUCCAAAUCUUCUGGUAAGGUUGUACAUAUCGAUUUGGUUAUUUUGAUCUUGCAAAUUGAGAUUGAUAAAGAGGAUUUGAAAAUGCCAUGCUUUCUUCGUGAAUGAGUUGUUAUAUUUUAUUAAAUCAGUUAUGCCAGAAUUUUCUAUUAUAAUAAUAUAUCUUUUAGAGUCUUUUAUUCCUCUCCAAUUUCUCAGUACCCAACAGAAACAUGAAAUGUGUAUAUAAGGAUUAAAGGCAAAAGCAUUACUUUCUCAAGAGUUUUGAGAGCAUCGGCCAUGGCAACAUUUGUCAUGUUAGCUGGGAUCUUGUUCUUCUUGCAGAGAGCUUGGAGCUCUUUCCUUGCAAGGCUGUGAAAAUGCAUUUCCAAUCAGAAAAUGACGAAUAAGAAACGAUUUGUUUUCAAUUUAGGGUUUUCUAACUAUGGAAAAUAAAAAUUAUAAAUAUAUUCCAUGAUUAAGAAGUAAUCAAAGUUAUUUAGAUAUCAAAUGAGAUCACUUUAAUAAUUUAAAAAACUAAUUCAGCAAUAGCAC
rnacentral:lncRNA from 1 species